rnacentral:rRNA from 1 species
UUUUUAUUUUUAAAAGACCUUUUUCGGAAGGUAUGCUUAAAGAGGGGCUUGCGUCACAUUAGUUAGUUGGCAGGGUAAAGGCCUACCAAGACUAUGAUGUGUAGCUGGACUGAGAGGUUGAACAGCCACAUUGGGACUGAGACACGGCCCAAACUCCUACGGGAGGCAGCAGUAGGGAAUUUUCGGCAAUGGAGGAAACUCUGACCGAGCAACGCCGCGUGAACGAUGAAGUAUUUCGGUAUGUAAAGUUCUUUUAUUGAAGAAGAAAAAAUAGUGGAAAAACUAUCUUGAAGAUAUUCAAUGAAUAAGCCCCGGCAAACUAUGUGCCAGCAGCCGCGGUAAUACAUAGGGGGCGAGCGUUAUCCGGAAUUAUUGGGCGUAAAGGGUGCGUAGGCGGUUUAAUAAGUCUAUAGUUUAAUUUCAGUGCUUAACACUGUCCUGCUAUAGAAACUAUUAGACUAGAGUGAGAUAGAGGCAAGUGGAAUUCCAUGUGUAGCGGAAAAAUGCGUAAAUAUAUGGAGGAACACCAGAGGCGUAGGCGGCUUGCUGGGUCUUUACUGACGCUGAGGCACGAAAGCGUGGGGAGCAAACAGGAUUAGAUACCCUGGUAGUCCACGCCGUAAACGAUGAGUACUAAGUGUCGGGAUUACUCGGUACUGAAGUUAACACAUUAAGUACUCCGCCUGAGUAGUACGUACGCAAGUAUGAAACUUAAAGGAAUUGACGGGACUCCGCACAAGCGGUGGAUCAUGUUGUUUAAUUCGAAGAUACACGAAAAACCUUACCAGGUCUUGACAUACUCUGCAAAGCUAUAGCAAUAUAGUGGAGGUUAUCAGAGAUACAGGUGGUGCAUGGUUGUCGUCAGCUCGUGUCGUGAGAUGUUAGGUUAAGUCCUAAAACGAGCGCAACCCUUGUCAUUAGUUGCCAGCAUGUCAUGAUGGGCACUUUAAUGAGACUGCCAAUGAAAAAUUGGAGGAAGGUGAGGAUCACGUCAAAUCAUCAUGCCCCUUAUGAUCUGGGCUACAAACGUGAUACAAUGGCUGUUACAAAGAGUAGCUGAAACGCAAGUUUAUAGCCAAUCUCAUAAAAGCAGUCUCAGUUCGGAUUGAAGUCUGCAACUCGACUUCAUGAAGUUGGAAUCGCUAGUAAUCGCGAAUCAGCAUGUC